UGAAUCGUAGGCUUAUUUCUUAUUACCCAAACUUACUGAAUGUUGUCCAAAUGGUGCAUUUGAAAGUAAGAUAAUACUUUUAUAAGGACAUGUUAGUUUAUAGUUUUUAAGAAUCCACAAAUUUACUGAAUCCAUGGACAACAAAGCUGCACAAGUCUGAAAAGCUCAACAAACUUCUCGUGUGGAGCUUUUUACUGAGCUUUGGUUUCGUUGGGGAUGUACAUGAAUAUAUAUAUGUGCUUGUCCAUAAGGUAUGAAUACUUCCCCAGCGAACUUUUCAAGUGGGAUUUGCUUCCAUUACUGAUCUCAUGAUGUUUCUCAAGAUUCCAACUCCCAGGCACAAUUGGUUUACUUCAUUCCAGCAAGAUAACAUCUUAUUGAUCCUAUUGUUGUAGUAACGCAAAAACAAAAUUUCGAAUAUUACUGCUACUGAUUUAGUUUCUUUUAUGUUUGAUUUUGGACUCCUGUUGCCUUUAGGUUCGAAUGAUAGGAAGCCUAGUUGGCUACUAAAUAGUUGUGGUCCAUUGUGGCCAUAGAUCUUUUCAUAGGAGAAGCUAUGCACUUUCAGUGUGGCGAUAUCACGCUGAUUCUAGAUAUUUCUUCUUAUUAAUAUAUGUUGGCCAAUUGUUGGGCUCUUUGGAUUUGCUGCUUCCCUUUUGAAAUUAUAGUGGUGAAACUGAGGUAUAUUAACCUCACGAUCAAAGGCCAUGCAUGUCCUUUCUUUGGUCCAAUACAUGAUAAGUGGUGCCAGCUGGAAAGAAACCCAAUUGCAUCUCGUGUGAUUAGUUUUGAUGAUACGUAGUUUAUGAAACCAACCUGCAACUGCUAUCACUCCAAGCUCACUGUGCCAACAGGAUAUACGGACAGAUCAUGCAUGCAUUGAGUCAGUGCGAUCCAAGUGCGCAGCUACCCUGUUUGGUUCUUCCCUUCCCUAGUAUUACUCAAGUGACCAUUCUCGUCCUUGCCAAAGCUGCGACUUUUAUCACGUUAUUAUCACCAUCCAAUUAUUAAGGUAUACUUGAGUUUACAUUUAUAUGAACUGAUGGAAGCCCUUCGCUACCAUUUGGUCCCAUGUAAAUUGGCGAUACAUGAACGGGACAUCGUCCUUUGCCCCCACGUGUUGCUGCUGCUUUGCCAACUGACUGCUGGGCUGUUGAAACUUUGUUGUUGCAGAGACUUGGGUAGGUCCCCACUCCUGCUCCAUACAGUUCCCACAAUGUCUGAUUCCUCUGUGAUGUUCCUUGGCACCAGAAGACACCUUUUUUCAGUACGGAACUUUUCUGGUUAAAGCAGACUGCAUCAGCUCAUCUCAGAUGGUUAAGACGGCAGAUGAACAUUUGUCCUUCUGCUUGCAUGGUUGGACACCACCGCAUUGCUCCUAUAGGGGCUCAUCGUUGGUAAUGUUGCUUUCGGAAGGCCGCCUUUAUCCAUCAGAUGCCAGGUGGUACUGGCUGUUACGUGAUGAUAUAUCAUCUUGAUUUUGGACUCUAGUAGCUUAUAAUCAGAUGGCUUCUUGUGAAUCCUCA